rnacentral:precursor_RNA from 15 species
CUUCGGCUGAAUUCCUUCUGCCCCACUGAUUAGAGGUCACCCAGGAAGGAGAUGUAGAAAAAGUGCAUCAUCCUGGCUGACUUCUGCUCAGCGGGGGGCAGCAUGACACCGGGGCAAG